rnacentral:rRNA from 1 species
UACGUAGGGUCCGAGCGUUGUCCGGAAUUACUGGGCGUAAAGAGCUCGUAGGUGGUUUGUCACGUUGUUCGUGAAAACUCACAGCUCAACUGUGGGCGUGCGGGCGAUACGGGCAGACUGGAGUACUGCAGGGGAGACUGGAAUUCCUGGUGUAGCGGUGGAAUGCGCAGAUAUCAGGAGGAACACCGGUGGCGAAGGCGGGUCUCUGGGCUAUAACUGACGCUCAUGCACGAAAGCGUGGGGAGCAAACAGG